rnacentral:sRNA from 1 species
UGUUGCAACAGCCCCGUGGAUUGGGAGGAUCGGCCAGAUGAGGCCGGUCCUCAAGUGAGUCCGCUGCAACG